rnacentral:rRNA from 1 species
GAUGAACGCUAGCGACAGGCUUAACACAUGCAAGUCGAGGGGCGAGCACGAUGUAGCAAUACAUUGGUGGCGACCGGCGCACGGGUGAGUAACGCGUAUGCAACCUACCUAUCAGAGGGGAAUAACCCGGCGAAAGUCGGACUAAUACCGCAUAAAACAGGGGUUCCACAUGGAAUAUUUGUUAAAGAAUUAUCGCUGAUAGAUGGGCAUGCGUUCCAUUAGAUAGUUGGUGAGGUAACGGCUCACCAAGUCCACGAUGGAUAGGGGUUCUGAGAGGAAGGUCCCCCACACUGGUACUGAGACACGGACCAGACUCCUACGGGAGGCAGCAGUGAGGAAUAUUGGUCAAUGGGCGAGAGCCUGAAACCAGCCAAGUCGCGUGAAGGAUGAAAGGAUCUAUGGUUUGUAAACUUCUUUUAUAUGGGAAUAAAGUGAGGAACGUGUUCCCUUUUUGUAUGUACCAUAUGAAUAAGCAAUCGGCU